rnacentral:rRNA from 1 species
UACAGAGGGUGCGAGCGUUAAUCGGAAUUACUGGGCGUAAAGCGCGCGUAGGCGGCUUUGCAAGUCGGGUGUGAAAUCCCCAGGCUUAACCUGGGAACUGCAUUCGAGACUGCAUUGCUAGAGUAUGGGAGAGGGAAGUGGAAUUUCCGGUGUAGCGGUGAAAUGCGUAGAUAUCGUCAAGAACACCGAUAGUGAAGACAGCUAACUAAACUUUUACUGACGCUGAGGCACGAAAAGUGUGGGGAUCAAACAGG